rnacentral:misc_RNA from 1 species
GAAGGUUAUGCCGAAACCGUCCUCGCGGCGGCCGGCAGCCCUCCCAUCAUUCACCUUGUGCACGUAUCGAAAUCAUGCUUUGGCAGACUCUUUGGGUCUGCCAGAGGAAAUUUCUAAUCAUGCCAUGACUUUGCCUGAUCUUUAUACGAAUAAUAAAUGAAAC